GUCAGGAAGCAAGAUGGCUUCACCCACAUCUUGUUAUCCACAGAAUCAUCUGAGAAUAACUCUAAACCCAGAACUGGAGCAGAUUGUUUUCCAGAAAAGGAAAGCAACGGACAGAAGGUGAUGAAAGAAGUCCAGAGUGCCCUGAACAUGACCACUACAGACAGCAAGCUGGUGCUGCUCAACGCAAUGGACAGCUCUUCUGUUGUGGCCAGGACUUCAUUUACUUCAUAGGGUGUCUCACGGAUGACAGGAAGAGAGAAAGGACCAAGAUGUCAGAUGCAAUCAGCCUCUACCCCCUUCAGACAGGCUCCAGAUAGCUGCUCUACUGUUAUGUCUCCCAAGAUUGUGGUAGCACGUCAUUCUAGAGAUUGACUGAGAGAGUGUGGCCCAGAGAAGAAUCCUCUUUGUUGAGCCCUGCUGAAGUGAUGGCCUGGAAGUCAGAUUGCACAGGGCAACAAGUCAACCUAUUGUGCAAAUCCUCCACUUCCAAAACUCAGCACCCAAAAUUUACCUUGGCCAAUUAGCACACUGCUGUCUUUGUACACAUUAGUGCGGGGAGUAUAGGAAUACCAUGUGUCAUGGACAAUGAGUGU